CUCCUGCACUUUUAAUAGCUUGCAAAAAACUUGCAUUAGCCUCUUGUCUGUGAUUAAAGAUCAAUUUAAAGAGCAGGCGAUUACACCAUGUAAAGUAAGUUAACAUCUGAUUUAAAAUGAAACAAUUUUUUUUCCUGCAGACUGUGUCAGUCACAUCCAUGGGAAUUGUGGCUAGAGUUGCAUGGGCAGAAACAAAAGUGAUUUAACUCCUAAAUGGCAGAGAAUUGAGCAGUGAGACUUGAGUUGCAUGAUCUAUACUCAAAAACCGCUUUCUUACACUGAAGUUAUGUUGGUGACUAUAGCGUC